rnacentral:lncRNA from 1 species
CAUGGAUUAACAAUAGGCUUGUUCAGCCACAACAGCAGUCACAAGCAGUAAUAUACAGAGGAAACAUAACGUGGCAUAUGACUAUACAGCACAAUUUUAGUUUUAUAAAAGAAAAUAUAAGCAAUGAGUGAGCAACGCUCGAGAUGUGCUGAACAUUUGUCUUUGUCGCAAUGGUAAAUUCAAGAAGCAUAAACACAGCUUUGAUACAGUAGUAACAUGGAGAUAUCAGCAUAUUAAUUAACGUUAAGUUGUAGGUUGUAGGCGAAGUUAUAUUUAUAAGUUUUAGUCUUGCGUGUCAGUUAAGGCUAUAAGUACAGGUGUUAAUACUGGUUGACUUACUGACUUGAUAGAAAAUAAUAAAGUUUGGCUAGGUUAAGUGCAAUUAAAUGAAAAUUAGGUUAAAUGUUAAAGGUAAAUAUAUAAGGAAAGUAAC